rnacentral:rRNA from 1 species
UACGUAGGGCGCAAGCGUUGUCCGGAAUUAUUGGGCGUAAAGAGCUCGUAGGCGGUCUGUUGCGUCCGCUGUGAAACUCGGGGCUUAACCCCGAGCCUGCAGUGGAUACGGGCAGACUAGAGGUAGGUAGGGGAGAAUGGAAUUUCCGGUGGAGCGGUGAAAUGCGUAGAGAUCGGAAAGAACACCAACGGCGAAAGCGACUCUGCUGGGCCGACACUGACACUGAGAGACGAAAGCUAGGGGAGCGAAUGGGAUU